rnacentral:rRNA from 1 species
GAUGAACGCUGGCGGCGUGCCUAAUACAUGCAAGUCGAGCGAACAGACGAGGAGCUUGCUCCUCUGACGUUAGCGGCGGACGGGUGAGUAACACGUGGAUAACCUACCUAUAAGACUGGGAUAACUUCGGGAAACCGGAGCUAAUACCGGAUAAUAUAUUGAACCGCAUGGUUCAAUAGUGAAAGACGGUUUUGCUGUCACUUAUAGAUGGAUCCGCGCCGCAUUAGCUAGUUGGUAAGGUAACGGCUUACCAAGGCGACGAUGCGUAGCCGACCUGAGAGGGGGACCGCCCCCCCUGGAACUGAGCACCGGCCACAACCCCUCGGGGGGGCAGAAGGGGGGAACUUGCCCCAAGGGGGGAAAGUUUGACGGGCCAACCCCGGGGAGGUGAGAAAGGUUUUGGGAUCGUAAAACUCUUUUUUUAGGGAAAAAAAAAUGUUUAAGUAACUAUGCCCUUUUUGACGGUCCCAAAACAAAAACCCGCGGUAAACUCCGU